UAGUCCUUUCAUAUGCUGAUUUCAUCUCUUUUGGGUAAAUACCUUGGAGUGGGAUGGCUGGUUCAUAUGGUAGAUCUAUUUUCAACUUUCUGAGGCAUCUUUAUACAGUCUUUCACAAUGACCAUACUAGUCUACUCCCACCAAGUGUGGAUUAGAGAAUCUUUUCCCUCAUAUCCUCUCCAGUGUUUAUUGUUUUAUGGUUUGUAUUUGCAUUUCCCUGAUGGCUAAUGAUCCUGAGCAUUUUUUCAUGUGUCUGUUGGCCAUUUGAAUUUCAUCCACUGAAAAAUGCCAUGUUCAUGUCUUUUGCCCAUUUCUUACUGUACUGUUAGUUUUUUUGUUGUUGAAUAUCUUGAGUUCUUUAUAGUUUCUGGAUAUUCAUCCUUUAACAAUUGCAUAGUUUACAAAUAUUUUCUCCCAUUCUAUUGGUUGCCUCUUCACUUUCUUGAGUGUUUCCUUUUAGUAUAGAUGCUUUUUAGCUUGAUGUAAUCUCAUUUGUCUAUUUUUUAGAUUUCCUGUGCUUCUGGAGUCUUUUCCAAGAAGACUUUGCCUAUGCCAACAUCUUGCAGAGUUUCCUCAAUGUUCUCCUCUUAGUAAUUUGAUGGUAUCAGGUCCUGGAUUUGAAUCCUUGAUUUAUUUUUAGUUGAUUUUUGUAUAAAGUGUAAGGUAGGGAUCUGGUUUCAUAUUUUCCCACAUGGAGAUCCAAUUUUCCCAGCACAAUCUGUGGAAGAGCAUGCAUUUUCCCAGGGACUGAUUCAAGCUUCUUUGUUAAAAUUCUUAGGUUUUAGUUGCAUGGAUUUAUUUCCAAAGUUUCUAUUCAGUUCCAUUGGGCUGCAUAUCUAUUUUCGUGCCAGUAUCAGGAUGCUUUGAUUAUAACUUCCCUGUAUUAUAUCUUGAAAUCUGAUGUUGUGAUGCCUCUGGCUGUUUUUGCUGUUUAAGAUUGCUUUAGCUAUUCUGGGUCUCCUGUGUUUCCAUAUGAAUUUUAGCAUCAUGUUUUCUACAUCUGAGAAGAAAUGUUGUUGGUAUUUUGAUUGGGUUCGUGUUGAAUUUGUGGGGCUCCAUGGGAUGCGCAGCCAUGGAGCCCCCACGUCAAGGUCGGUCUGAUAACUGUUGCUGUGUCUUUAUCACAAGGCGGAUGUUGCUAGUUUCGGUUAGGGCAAUGCUUUCCCACGGUCGGGACUUUCCAGAGGCACUGAGCCUGUCUCAUAAACAACAAGACGGCGCUGAGGACUAUGCGGUGAGCCUGCCUGCUGCGUGACACCUCAUCUGAUUGGCCCGAGGACGUGUGCACACUGUGUGAACAGACAGCGGAUUGGAGCAUUCCGUGCAUGGACUUGAGCCCACUUGCAAUUGGCCGGAUUUUGUAUAUAAGCUGUGUGCUGAGGAAGGAGGGGUCUUUUUCUGUCCACUCUCCUCCCUUCAUUCUUUCUCUGUCGCUGUUAUUUUCUUAUUAAAAGUCUACUGAAGACCGAUAAGCUGCGAGCAGUGUCAUUCCUUUGCGGGCAAGGGAGCAACAAGUGGUUCCGUGACUCAGAUUCGGACCACUUUGCUACACGCAGGAAUAGAUGGUCAUUUUGCAGCGGAUCAACAGUGGCAACCACAAACAGCUGGGGUAAGAACAAUGGUAAAAUGGAAGGAUCCUAUCACCAAUCAACGGAAUGGACCUGAUCCAGUACUGGUAUGGGACAUGGGCUCUUAAGGACUGGGUAUUUUUAUGCAACCAAUUUGCUUUUACAUUGUUAACCUCUGAUGAUUUUCGCAACUGCUCAUUGGGCCGUGUGGCCCAAUGCUAACAUCUGUAUUUCCAAAGGCACGACAGCGAUGCUCAUUAUCUGAGAACUGUGAUGAUGAUGUCAUCGUAAUUGGAGACCUGCUUUCACCAUGGCUAUACAGCUAGUGGGAGUUCCUGGAUUGGCUUAUGGAAAUAAUCGUGGACUAUGAAGGCUUGCAUGUUUGGUGACCAAAACAAUCGAUCUUACUGCUACUGCGCUAUCCAAUAUAGCUGAAGAAUUGGAUCAAGUUCGUUCAGGAGUACUCUUAAACCGAGCAGCUAUCGAUUAUUUGCUGUUAAAAGAUCAUAUAAGCUGUAAAUCUGUUCCAGGGAAAUGUUGUUUUAACAUUACUAACAAUGCCAUAUAUAGAGUCUGUUAUUGAUAAACUUAAGAGUAAAAUGCAACAUAUGUUUAUUACUAACCCACUAACAUUUGAGGGGUUUCAAUGGAUUUGUUGGUUAUUAAUGCUGGCUGGACCGUUACUGCUUUUCAUACUUUAUAUGGGAUGUUUUCCGUGUGUUCUGCAAUUUGUGCUAUCUUCGCUACAGUCUGUAUGGGCUGACAUUCAUCACUUAAAACUUCGUACCAAACCUCCUUUGUAUUAAAAAAUAAUUAAUAUUUGGCUGUAUGUUUCAUCUCUCACCUAAUGUUGGGCUAAAAUGGUACUCAAAAACACGUAAGACACUCCACAUCCUGUACCUACCUAAGACAGGGCUCAAGUUAAAGAAUGGGUCGCUAUUGGUUGCUUGUUUGUCAUGGUACUACUGGGCCUUGCCUUCAUUGCCAGAUGGAUCAGAGCCUUAGCACUCCGUCAGCAGAAUACCAACUUAAUAAUCCAACAGGCUAUGCUGGCCACCUUGCGAUCUCACCCCAAUAAAAAAGUAUGGCUUAGCAUGCUGGAGCGGUAGUCAAAGACGGGUAAACACUGAUGGGCGCUCCUAGCAACCUAAGACAGAGGGUAGGACAGGCUUCCUAUUACCUCCAUGACGGGUAAGCAGGUAGCGCGCCAUUGGGUACCUAAGACAGGCAUGUUUCCAUGCCAUUUAAAUAAUAAAGAAGGGGGAGAUGUGGGACUCCAUGGGAUGCGCAGCCAUGGAGCCCCCACGUCAAGGUCGGUCUGAUAACUGUUGCUGUGUCUUUAUCACAAGGCGGAUGUUGCUAGUUUCGGUUAGGGCAAUGCUUUCCCACGGUCGGGACUUUCCAGAGGCACUGAGCCUGUCUCAUAAACAACAAGACGGCGCUGAGGACUAUGCGGUGAGCCUGCCUGCUGCGUGACACCUCAUCUGAUUGGCCCGAGGACGCGUGCACACUGUGUGAACAGACAGCGGAUUGGAGCGUUCCGUGCAUGGACUUGAGCCCACUUGCAAUUGGCCGGAUUUUGUAUAUAAGCUGUGUGCUGAGGAAGGAGGGGGCUUUUUCUGUCCACUCUCCUCCCUUCAUUCUUUCUCUGUCGCUGUUAUUUUCUUAUUAAAAGUCUACUGAAGACCGAUAA